rnacentral:rRNA from 1 species
ACUGGCGGCAUGCCUUACACAUGCAAGUCGAACGGUAACAGGGAGCUUGCUCCGCUGACGAGUGGCGAACGGGUGAGUAAAGUAUCGGAACGUACCUUUCAGUGGGAGAUAACUAUCCGAAAGGAUAGCUAAUACCGCAUAUUCUGUGAGCAGGAAAGCAGGGGAUCGCAAGACCUUGCGCUGAUUGAGCGGCCGAUAUCAGAUUAGCUAGUUGGUGAGGUAAAGGCUCACCAAGGCGACGAUCUGUAGCGGGUCUGAGAGGAUGAUCCGCCACACUGGAACUGAGACACGGUCCAGACUCCUACGGGAGGCAGCAGUGGGGAAUUUUGGACAAUGGGCGAAAGCCUGAUCCAGCCAUGCCGCGUGAGUGAAGAAGGCCUUCGGGUUGUAAAGCUCUUUCGGCUGGGAAGAAAUCGCACAGGCUAAUACUCUGUGUGGAUGACGGUACCAGCAUAAGAAGCACCGGCUAACUACGUG